UGCUCUCCUUUUCAUAUCCAAUCCAUCUUUUUUCUUUUUUAAAGUCUCCCUCCCCCCCUUGCCCUGUGGGUAGCGUGUAGCUGUAGAAACUAACAACAAAGUCCUAGUUCUUCGACUGUUCGGAUGCAAAGUAAGAACGUAAGAAAGAACAGAACAUACACAGGGCAUUAUGUGCCUCGGAAAAGAGCGAGGCUCGGAUCAGCUCCUACCCCCCUCUCUCUAUAAUUCCGUGUUUUGGUUUUCAAUCCCGAGACCCCAAAGUGGCAAAAAGAAAAUAGAAAGGAAAGCAAACUAGAAUUUUGUUCACUUUUUUUUUUUUUUUCCUCAAGAAAGAUGGGGGGAAAAUAAAGAUAGAAAUAGGGUUUGUUUGUUAGAUACUACAUGGGUUUGAGUGUAUGGGGUUGGCUGUGAACAGUGGAAAAGUAUGCCGUUCCAUAAAGAGUCGGACCAUACCCUUCGCCUUUCAUCUUUUACCAAACAGAUCGCCCCCAUAAAGUAUCUAGGUCUAUCCACUCAAUGGCCUCUUCUUCUCACAAAUCCAACCAAGAUUACAAGCUAAAAGCAGGAGAAGAUGAAGGAGGAGACUGGCUUGAGCUCGGGUUAGGCUUAGGCUUUGGAACAGGUUGCAGGAAAGUGGAAGCUGAGCAAAGAUCAAACCCAGUUUCAGGCCAUCUAACAUCAGCAGCAGCAUCUUCUUCUUCUUCACUACCCUUGCAAACCAACCAGCAGAUAGGGUUAGGAUUAGGGUUAGAGUUACGGUCUGGUUUAGGUUUAGGGUUUGAAAACGAGGGUGUCAGGCAUGUGGGUUUACUGGCGCCGUCUAUUAGUAAUUAUCAGGACUUGGUGUGGCCAGAUCAUUGUUAUCAUUAUAAUCAGUACUAUGAUAACGAUGAGGAUCAUUAUAAUGGUGUAGUGCAGCCAUCAUGGCCAUGGCACUCGGAUCCAGCUGGUGCCCUACUUGGCCUGCAUGACUUGCAAAUGCCGGUUCCCAAUGAUUCUCAUAAUUACUUCACCAGAAGACCCCAUUCUGGCUUGUGGUUUUCCCUCCGCUCCUCAACUAACCGGUGAGUGAGCACGUUUUUCCUCAUACCCAUCAUUAGCACCAGUAUAAUAAGUCUUCUUUUAUUCCACCCCUACCCGGCCUCUUUUUCUUGUUUUCUCGUGACUUUCUUUCCAGUGAGGUGGUGGGUCUCUCUCUCUCUCUCUCUCUCUUUCCUCUUCAAACACUCUAAUUUGUUGAGUAUAGAUUAGCAUCAUGUACAUGUGCCGAUUAAUAUAUAUAUCCUCGAUCGGGUUAUCGGAACCCACUCUUCAUAUCUUCUUAUCAUCUUUCUCUUCAUUUUCUUUCAUUUCAUCAUGUUACUCUCUGAUCUGGCAUACAGUACAGACAUGCAUACCUACCUACUUCGGGGGAUGGGGAAGCGUUGCCUCAAAUACCAAAGGCGUAUAUUAGAGUGAAGGACGAGAACGUGACGGUUUUCAUGGUUAAAAAGUACCUGGUUACAAAGCUUGGUCUCUCCAACGAGGCGGAGAUUGAUAUAUCCUGCAUGGGGCAGAAUUUGUUGCAUACACAAACCUUGAAAGAAGUAAGGGAUGCAGUUUGGGUUCCUAGACUGUUAGAAUCUGUAAAUUCAACAAUAUUGUCACUUGAGGACUACUCCCUUGACAUGUCUUCAAAACAUUUGAUGUCUUUACAUUAUGAAAGAAGAUCAUAUUAAUGAACUGAUCAUCAUCAGCUGCUUAAUUAGCUAGCUAGCUAGGUUCCUUGCAUGCAUGCAUGCCUGCCUGCCUUUGUUAAUGUUCGAUCCUGUCGCUUGAUCAUGAUCAAUAUCAGUAGUUAAUGAUCAUAUCUAGUAUUCAUGUACAUAUACCUAUGUUUUAUUCAGCAAUUAAUCAUGUAUGUUUAAUUUGGAUUCAGCCCUUAAAUUGUAUCGUACGUACGUUUUCUUUACAUUACAAUUGAUCGAGGAUCAGAUGAUCAAGGGUUAA